AGUCGAACGGCAGCAUGGAGAGCUUGCUCUCUGAUGGCGAGUGGCGAACGGGUGAGUAAUAUAUCGGAACGUGCCUAGUAGUGGGGAACAACCAGCCGAAAGGUUGGCUAAUACCGCAUACGACCUACGGGUGAAAGCAGGGGAUCUUCGGACCUUGCGCUAUUAGAGCGGCCGAUAUCUGAUUAGGUAGUUGGUGGGGUAAAGGCCUACCAAGCCGACGAUCAGUAGCUGGUCUGAGAGGACGAUCAGCCACACUGGAACUGAGACACGGUCCAGACUCCUACGGGAGGCAGCAGUGGGGAAUUUUGGACAAUGGGGGAAACCCUGAUCCAGCCAUUCCGCGUGAGUGAAGAAGGCCUUCGGGUUGUAAAGCUCUUUCGCAAGGGAAGAAAUUUUAUUGUCGAAUAAACAGUAAAGAUGACGGUACCUUGAGAAGAAGCACCGGCUAACUACGUGCCAGCAGCCGCGGUAAUACGUAGGGUGCGAGCGUUAAUCGGAAUUACUGGGCGUAAAGCGUGCGCAGGCGGUCUUAUAAGUCAGAUGUGAAAUCCCCGAGCUCAACUUGGGAACUGCGUUUGAAACUGUAAGACUAGAGUGUGUCAGAGGGAGGUAGAAUUCCACGUGUAGCAGUGAAAUGCGUAGAGAUGUGGAGGAAUACCAAUGGCGAAGGCAGCCUCCUGGGAUAACACUGACGCUCAUGCACGAAAGCGUGGGGAGCAAACAGGA
rnacentral:rRNA from 1 species